UACGGCGAGCGAAAAGGGAACAGCCCAGCGCCGAAUCCCCGACCUCCGGUCGCGGGAAAUGUGGCGUUUAGGAGUGAGCGUGCCGGGAAGGAGAAGGUGGCAAGUCCCCCUGACCGGGGCCUGUCCGUAGCGGGUGCGAGACCCAUAGCCGCCUCUUCCCGACCGGAUGCGAUCUCCUGGGAGUCGGGUUGCUUGGGAGUGCAGCCCCAAUCGGGUGGUAAACUCCACCUAAGGCUAAAUACCGCCGUGAGACCGAUAGCAAACAAGUACCGUGAGGGAAAGUUGCAAAGAACUUUGAAGAGAGAGUUCAAGAGUACGUGAAACUGCUCAGAGGUAAACGGGUGGGCCCUCGAAAUCCUGUGGCGAGAGGAUUCAGUGCGGGCCGCGGUGCAUUCGUCCGGAAGGAGCGUCCCCGCGAAGGGGGCCGUCCGGACGACGGCCUCACCGCGCGUCUCGUACGCAUUUGUCUCUCGUCCGAAGGACGCUGCGGCCUGUUCGGCAGUGCAAACGUGACGGCUUGAAGGGCCGGAGCUGGCAGGUGGCCGGUGGCUCGCCUCGUGCGAUUCGCCGGUUGUUAGCCGUCCGGUCAGUGGCCCGUCGCCGGACAGUGGUCGUCGGUUCCCGUCAGGGAACCCCUCGUCUCCUCACUUCGACGCAGGACAGGACGCGGCAUGGAUUCCCCGGACUCUCCGUCGCACGCCCUCGGCGUGGGCGGGAAGUCCGGGAGCCCUGUUGGUCGCGACGGACCUGCCGGAGACUCGAGGCCGGCAGCGAGUAGGUCGGUCACCCACCCGACCCGUCUUGAAACACGGACCAAGGAGUCUAACAUGUGCGCGAGUCAGUGGGUCUUGAACAGGCCCAAAGGCGCAAUGAAAGCGAAGGUUUGCUCUUGCAAUCCGAGUCGGGAUCCCUCCCGUUCGCGGGGGGGCGCACCGACGCCCCGUCCCAUCCAGUUCGCUGGUCGGGCGGAGGUCGAGCGUACACGUUGGGACCCGAAAGAUGGUGAACUAUUCCCGGGCAGGACGAGGUCAGAGGAAACUCUGGUGGAGGUCC
rnacentral:rRNA from 1 species